rfam:Gossypium arboreum cultivar AKA8401 contig_1885_9, whole genome shotgun sequence.
UGUUAAAAAUUUCAUCUAUCUGUACGGUUGAAAACUGGUGUGGCUGAUGGAAUAAUUAGACAAUGAUAUGUGCCGUGCCGUGUGUAUAUCAUGCUAACGUAUAGGGAUCGGUUUUUAAUAGUAGAAAUAGAUGAAAAUUUUAACA